rnacentral:siRNA from 1 species
ACAACAAACAUAUCUUGCCGACAC